rnacentral:misc_RNA from 1 species
GUAGGUGAACCUGCGGAAGGAUCAUUACAGAGCGUGAGACUCUGCCCGGGCGCGUCCCGCGCGCAGAGUUGACCCUCCACCCGUGUUGACUUAUUUCAUGUUGCUUUGGCGGGCCCGGUGCUUUGCGCCGACCGGCUUCGUGCUGGCUCGUGUCCGCCAGAGACCCAACCUAACUCGUGUUGUCGUGUCGUCUGAAGUAGAAUGAUAUUGAAUUGUUAAAACUUUCAACAACGGAUCUCUUGGCUCUG